UCCACCUCCCCUCCCCCUCCGGUAACGUUCGGUAGGCAGACACUGGCAGCGUUAGAACAAGGUUGCCAUCUCGUUUUUAAAGAAGAGAAACUUUCUCUCUCUCUUUGAUUUGUGUAGUUUUCGCUUUAAAGAGUAAGGGGUACCAUUGCUUCCCUCUCUCUAGACUUCAGACCCCUCCAGCUUUGGGGCCCAUUCCCAGGGAAGACACCUGCUGUGGCGUCUCCCUCUCACCCCCCAAACCUAACUACCCUAGCUUUCCUGGAUCUAUGCAGGGAUGUCUUUCUCUCUGUAUAUGUUUAUUUGUACGGUUACCACAGCAUCGCCGGGGGUCCCGAAGGUCAGAAAACAGCUAUCGAUUAACCUAUUAGAAUAGUUGCCCAGAGAAAUAAAAGCAACGUAAAGUAAUAGGGAGCCCAUAACAAAGAAGCCCUAAGUGGCAGCCGGAGUUGUUAAACGACUUAGCAUACGAAAAACUCGGAAAUAAUCUGGGAACGGAGCCGGCGUCGGCCGCGGCCCGGAACGUAAACCAACUCUUCAAGCAACUAGCAACAGGGAGAGUAGAGGAGGCGGCGGCGAAGAUGUGGCCUGUGCACACGCAGUUGAGUUUCCACGGCAAGAAAAGUCAAUGCUGCUGCACCACUUGGUGACCUAAAGGCUCUGAGACGUGUACAACGCCGUCUAGAAGCCUCGCGAAACCAUCCAGAGCCGCGAGCUGACCGCUCACCACCCCAGGCAACAGAGGUCACAGUGGCAACUGCCCGAGCAACCCGAAGGAAGGUCGGAAAUGAAAAGAAAACGAAACACCAAAAUUUACAAAUUUGGAACUCCUUUUGAUGAACUUGCGUU